GAGGCGCUAGUCCAACCAAGACACCUGAUUUCGACUCAGCCAAUUAUGGUUUAAACCCAUAGCCCCUCU
rnacentral:tRNA from 1 species